CAAGACAGGGGCUGUCUCUUCCCUGUCUUCAUUCUCUCACAUUCCUCCAAAUUCAAAUUUUAUAGCAGUCUUUUCAGCUCACCUGUCAAAUUCCUGUUAUUUUUAUCGUUCAUGUUUUUAUAGAUAAGGUGUGUAAUCCACCUCUGUUGCUUGAAAAUAAGAUGCUACUCAUGUCUGGGUCAGCCUUCACAAGGCACCAGUGCCACGGCCUUUUCAGGGCAGGUCAGCUUGCAGUGGGCACACAAGGCAUCGUCACCAUUCCUGUCUUUGAUCUCAGGUGUGAAUGAGAAAAUCAGUGCAAUGCCUUGCAAGACAAAGAAGAGCUCUGUGGAAGCACAUGAAGUAAAUGGACUUCAUAAAAGUACAGGAAGUAAAUGAAGUACUUUAUCAAUUGCUGGUUUUUUGGCUUCAUGGGUAACCUAA